AAGAAAGUGACAGAGUGGCCAUGUGAUUGGCUUGAAACCAAUGUAUGGAGGUUCAACUCCUCCCUUUCUCG
rnacentral:tRNA from 1 species